GGCGAACACGGCUGAAGGCGUCCAAAGUUGAAAAACUUAUAUUUCUAAAUAUGAACAGUACUAACUCCUGAAUUUCCUGUUACAGGUGGAUUCGAGAGGCACACCAACACCAGCAGAUGAGUCUCAGUUUAAUACUUGGGAUAUUAUAACAGUAAGUUAUAGCUCCAGAAGUCAGUCACCAGCAGCAGAUGUCACACAGUUAUAAAAUGGGAAACUUGAAGAAUAAGUUAUAGCUCCAGAAAACCGCCACCAGCAGCAGAUGUCACAGUUAUAAAAUGGGAAACUUGAAGAAUAAGCUCCAGAAGUCAGUCACCAGCAGCAGAUGUCACACAGUUAUAAAAUGGGAAACUUGAAGAAUAAGCUCCAGAAGUCAGUCACCAGCAGCAGAUGUCACACAGUUAUAAAAUGGGAAACUUGAAGAAUAAGUUAUAGCUCCAGAAAACCGCCACCAGCAGCAGAUGUCACAGUUAUAAAAUGGGAAACUUGAAGAAUAAGCUCCAGAAGUCAGUCACCAGCAGCAGAUGUCACACAGUUAUAAAAUGGGAAACUUGAAGAAUAAGUUAUAGCUCCAGAAAACCGCCACCAGCAGCAGAUGUCACAGUUAUAAAAUGGGAAACUUGAAGAAUAAGCUCCAGAAGUCAGUCACCAGCAGCAAAUGUCACACAGUUAUAAAAUGGGAAACUUGAAGAAUAAGCUCCAGAAGUCAGUCACCAGCAGCAGAUGUCACACAGUUAUAAAAUGGGAAACUUGAAGAAUAAGGUACUAGUGGUUUGGAUACAUGUGUGGGAAAUUCAACUUCCACUUAAAAUGCAGGUACAUUUGAAGUGUGUAAUGUAGUUUGGCAGUCAGUA